UUUAAAACUCGGUGAAGUUGAUAUGUAAGCUUUUUGGGUGAAACAUGUAACAAACUAGAUUUUUACCCAUGCGAUGCACGGCUAAUAUAAUAAUAUAGAAUAAUAAAAAUUAUUAUGUGAUGAUAAUAAAAAAAAUUUUUAAUUAAUUUUAUUUUUUUUAAUAAAUAAAAAAUAUACUAUCAAUCUUAAUUAUAGUACAUAUUAAAAUACACAAGCUAGAGAAAAAAAAAUUUGGACCAAAGUAAAUAUCCAACUAAAAUGCAAAAUUCAAUCCUGCUCUAUUAUCUAUGAAUUGGUGUGCAAAAUAAUUUACAUUUACAUAUUGGUGUGCAAAACAAAAUGAUAACUAAAAUUGAUAUGAAAAAUUACAAAUGACAUUAAUAUUUAAGUAUAUAAUGAGAUUAACUAAACUUUCAUAUUUGACACAAAUUAGAGUAAGCACACGUAUAUUAUUUCCCUACUGUCACUUUUAAGAUUUAAAAAUAUAUAGAUGUUGGUGUUUAAGAUAAUAUAAAGAAAAAAAACUUUGUUGCAUGAAGAUGGAAAGUUACAGGAGUGACAGUAGGGAAAAAAAAAUUACGAAAUGAAAAUUACAGAAGUGACAGUAGAAAAAUAAUAUGUUCUAUUUUAAAACAUUAACAUUUAAGAGCUAAGAAAAUUACAGGAGUGACGUGAGUUUUAAAUUUUUUCCUCUUUCCAAAAAUGCCUCUAUCCUUUUUUACUAAUAUUUUUAUGUCUAGAAAUUUUCAACCAAUCAUUUCAAAUAAUUAACUAAGUAAUAAUUUAUUCCUAAAUAAAGAUAAAUAUUUUUCUUCUCAUGCGUAAUAUCCGCACCCGCCAAUUCUUUCGCAACUUAAUAUCCGUAAAUUUCUCAAAUAUCUCAACAGUCAUCAGCAUGAGAGUCUCGCUCUUCCUACUAUAUAACCCUGACUCAGCCGAGACUUCUUAUAUUUUCGACAAAUAAUUAGCUUUAAUACCAAUUAUGACGUCCCAACUUUUCAGGGGAUCAUCCAUUCUAGGAUUGCUCUAGUCCUAAUAUAUUUAACUCUCUUAACUUUUUGGAUCUAAUCACUGCCCAAAAUGGUAUAACCGAAUUAAACAUUUUAGUCUUAUUAUAUCUCAUAUAUAAGACUAUUUGGGAUCUCACAAUUUUAGCGCGAAAUUGACACGAAAAUCAAAGUUUUAGAGCUCACU
rnacentral:lncRNA from 1 species